GGCUUAACACAUGCAAGUCGAACGAGAAGCUUCUUCGGAAGUGGACAGUGGCAGACGGGUGAGUAACGCGUGGGAAUCUGCCCAGAGGUUCGGGACAACCAUUGGAAACGAUGGCUAAUACCGGAUAAGCCCGCAAGGGGAAAGAUUUAUCGCCUUUGGAUGAGCCCGCGUAAGAUUAGCUAGUUGGUGGGGUAAAAGCCUACCAAGGCUGCGAUCUUUAGCUGGUCUGAGAGGAUGAUCAGCCACAUUGGGACUGAGACACGGCCCAGACUCCUACGGGAGGCAGCAGUGGGGAAUAUUGCGCAAUGGGGGAAACCCUGACGCAGCCAUGCCGCGUGAGUGACGAAGGCCUUAGGGUUGUAAAGCUCUUUCGCUAGGGAAGAUAAUGACGGUACCUAGUAAAGAAGCCCCGGCUAACUCCGUGCCAGCAGCCGCGGUAAUACGGAGGGGGCUAGCGUUGUUCGGAAUCACUGGGCGUAAAGCGCGCGUAGGCGGACUGAUUAGUUGGGGGUGAAAGCCCGGAGCUCAACUCCGGAACUGCCUCCAAUACUGUCAGUCUUGAGAUCGAGAGAGGUAAGCGGAAUUCCGAG
rnacentral:rRNA from 1 species